UGGGCAGCAUGAGGAUUUAUUUGAUUAGGCAAUGUGAGAUUAGGAAUUAGAGAUGGGAACAAGGGUGGCUAGAGUUUUAAGUAAAUAUAUGAGAGGCCUAAACAAUGGAGGGUUAAGAUUUAUUAUGGAGAUCAAGGGGCGUUGAAUAUGAGAAGAAAGAAGGGGGAGCGUGUGAGAUUUUAUAAGGCAUGAAGAAAGGAGGAGAGG
rnacentral:lncRNA from 1 species